rnacentral:lncRNA from 1 species
UUCAGUAUGAUGUAAAAUAUUUAUACUCAUAUUGCGUUAAUCUGGGUUAUUCAUCACGUUUGAUCUCUACCGUUCGAUUGCGUAUAAGAAGGAAACGAAUCUAGACUGUUCAUCGUAUUUGAUAUCGACUGUCUUAUUACGUUUAAGGAAUAAAUGAAUCUGAACCAUUCAUCGCGAUUUAAUUUUUACCGUCCGAUUGCGUUUAAAAUGGAAACAAAUCCG